UGAUGUCGAGGAAUGAAUGCUGCUGUGCCAAGCAAGACAACAGCAUUGCCAGAUGUCAAUAAGGCACUUGUUAAACAUGUCUUCUAAGGAUGCGGAAAGGAUCCUCAUUUCUACAGUUGUACUGGAGUACUGUCAGCUCUGCAUCACACCAUCACCUUUUCUAGACCGAGAAUUAUCUUCCUCAGAAUAUUUGUCCUCUGUGGCAGAGUUUGACAAUGAGAAGUUCUCUCAUAAGAUUUGGACGUUGGAAGAGAAGGAAUGGCCAUUAAUCUCUACAGGCAGCUGCAGGCAAAGAGGUUCAUGUCCUGAGGGGCCCAGUCAGCAGGCAGAACCACACUCUCCAGUGAUUCAGGCUGAGACACCAGCGGUGGCUUCCCUGACCUUGCCUUUCCCAGUGAUUCCAACAGUUGUUUAAGCCCAGAUUCCCUAUAUUCAAGUCCUUUAUGCUUGGGAUGCAUGGACUGGCCUCUGACUUCCUGACAAAAUCCUGACAGAUAUGAUGUCAAUAGACACCAAUUGAGGGGCUGGCCUGGUGGCGCAGUGGUUAAGUGCGCACGUGCCACUUCGGUGGCCCGGGGUUCUCUGGUUUGGGUCACGGGUGUGGACAUGGCACUGCUAGGCAAGCCAUGCCGUGGCAGGCGUCCCACAUAUAAAGUGGAGGAAGAUCAGCAUGGAUGUUGGCUCAGGGCCAGUCUUCCUCAGCAAAAAGAGGAGGAUUGGCAGCAGGUGUUAGGUCAGGGCUAAUCUUCCUCAAAAAAAAAGAAACCAGUUGAGGACACUGUAAGCCAAUCAGCACACUCUCAGGUUGGCCUUAGUCUUCACCCCUGGAAGGCUGUCACUUUUAUGUGGAGCCCCACGUUUGACCACACUCUCCUCAGAGUCUGCUCAUAACAAACUCUCAAUGUCCUCUUGUAAGAUAGCCUGAGAUUGUUUUUACAAGUUAAUCAUGUUACAACAUCUGGUAUAUUGACAUGGAUCAUUUUUCUGUACAUAUGAUUAAUUACUAUUGCCACACCCUAUAUUCCUUUUCAGAUUCUUUUCCUUACCUAAAUUGGCCUGCAUAUGUUUUUGCUAAUUUCACUGUGGUUUUGCAAAUGUGAUAUAUCCUCUUAAUGAAAAUCAUAUUGGACUUUAUUUCCUAAUUUCAAAAUCUUCAUAACCCGCUUGACAUAAGCGCUUCCAUAAUAUGGUUAAUGUACUAUAAACUUUUUCAUCACGUCAUCAAUAAAGUUAUUGAAUAGGACA
rnacentral:lncRNA from 1 species